UACGUAGGGUCCGAGCGUUGUCCGGAAUUAUUGGGCGUAAAGAGCUCGUAGGCGGUGUGUCACGUCGGCCGUGAAAACCUGCAGCUUAACUGUGGGCGUGCGGUCGAUACGGGCAUCACUGGAGUUCGGCAGGGAGACUGGAAUUCCUGGUGUAGCGGUGAAAUGCGCAGAUAUCAGGAGGAACACCGGUGGCGAAGGCGGGUCUCUGGGCCGAUACUGACGGCUGAGGAGCGGAAAGCCCAGGGGAGCAAACGGG
rnacentral:rRNA from 1 species